UACGGGGGGAGCAAGCGUUGUUCGGAUUUACUGGGCGUAAAGGGCGCGUAGGCGGCCACCGCAAGUCGGUUGUGAAAUCUCUGGGCUUAACCCAGAAAGGUCAACCGAUACUGCGGGGCUAGAGUGCAGAAGGGGCAACUGGAAUUCUCGGUGUAGCGGUGAAAUGCGUAGAUAUCGAGAGGAACACCUGCGGCGAAGGCGGGUUGCUGGGCUGACACUGACGCUGAGGAGCGAAAGCGUGGGGAGCGAACAGG
rnacentral:rRNA from 1 species